rnacentral:rRNA from 1 species
UUUUGAGUAUAAUCUGCUCAAUGUCAAUAUAAAAAGCCGCAGAAUUUUUACUGUGCUAAGGUAGCAUAAUCACUUGUUUCUUAAUUAGGGACUAGAAUGAAAGAUUCAACAAUUUAAUUUCUUUCUUAAAUUAAUAUAUUAAAUUUAUAUUAAAUAUAAAAAUAUAUUUAUAAAAAAAAUAGACGACAAGACCCUAUCGAACUUAACUUAUGUUUAGCUGGGGCAGCUAAUUAAUAAUUACUUUAAUUUAAAUUAAUCCAAAAAUGACCCAAUAAAUUGAUUAUAUGACCAAGUUACCGUAGGGAUAACAGCGUAAUAAGUUUUCAAAGUUCCUAUUUAAAAAUAAGUUUACGACCUCGAUGUUGAAUUAUAUCUCUAUAAUAACGCAAUAGUUUUAGAAGAAGGUCUGUUCGACCUUAAAAUUUUUACA